AUUACCGAACUCACAAAACCAACCACAGGUUCGGUUGGUGCGUCUGUCCGGGUCGGGGCGUGUAAGCCGCCUCAUCCCACUCGCUUGCCGAGCAGGGAGUGCUAACACACGGCUGAGGGAACUACAACAGCCUCGGGCACGGUGGCCCGAGACUGUUUACUUGCAGAGGUUAAUCAAGCUG
rnacentral:ncRNA from 1 species